UACGUAGGGGGCAAGCGUUGUCCGGAAUCAUUGGGCGUAAAGCGCGUGUAGGCGGCUCGAUAAGUCCGUUCUGAAAGUCCAGGGCUCAACCCUGGGAUGCGGAUGGAUACUGUCGAGCUCGAGCCCGGAAGAGGCGAGUGGAAUUCCUGGUGUAGCGGUGAAAUGCGCAGAUAUCAGGAGGAACACCAAUGGCGAAGGCAGCUCGCUGGGACGUGACUGACGCUGAGACGCGAAAGCGUGGGGAGCAAACAGG
rnacentral:rRNA from 1 species